rnacentral:rRNA from 1 species
GACGAACGCUGGCGGCGUGCUUAACACAUGCAAGUCGAACGGAAAGGCCCUGCUUUUGUGGGGUGCUCGAGUGGCGAACGGGUGAGUAACACGUGAGUAACCUGCCCUUGACUUUGGGAUAACUUCAGGAAACUGGGGCUAAUACCGUAUAGGAGCUCCUGCUGCUUGGUGGUGGUUGGAAAGUUUCGGCGGUUGGGGAUGGACUCGCGGCUUAUCAGCUUGUUGGUGGGGUAGUGGCUUACCAAGGCUUUGACGGGUAGCCGGCCUGAGAGGGUGACCGGCAACAAUGGGACUGAGAUACGGACCAGACUACUACGGGAGGCAGCAGUGGGGAAUAUUGCACAAGGGGCGGAAGCAUGAUGAAGCAAAGCAGCGGGCGGGAUGACGGCCUUCGGGUUGUAAACCGCUUUCGCCUGUGACGAAGCGUGAGUGACGGUAAUGGGUAAAGAAGCACCGGCUAACUACGUG